AAUCAACGCUGGCGGCGUGCCUCAGACAUGCAAGUCGAACGAUUAAAGCUCUCUUCGGAGAGUGCAUAGAGUGGCGCACGGGUGAGUAACACGUAAGUAAUCUACCUUCGAGUGGGGGAAUAACGUCCGGAAACGGACGCUAAUACCGCAUAAUGCAGCGGCAUCGUAAGAUGACAGUUGUUAAAGAUUUAUCGCUUGAAGAGGAGCUUGCGGCAGAUUAGCUAGUUGGUAAGGUAAUGGCUUACCAAGGCUACGAUCUGUAACCGGUCUUAGAGGACGGUCGGUCACACUGACACUGAAUAACGGGUCAGACUCCUACGGGAGGCAGCAGUCGGGAAUUUUGGGCAAUGGGCGAAAGCCUGACCCAGCAACGCCGCGUGAAGGAUGAAGUAUUUCGGUAUGUAAACCUCGAAAGAAUAGGAAGAAUAAAUGACGGUACUAUUUAUAAGGUCCGGCUAACUACGUGCCAGCAGCCGCGGUAAU
rnacentral:rRNA from 1 species